rnacentral:rRNA from 1 species
GGCUCAGAUUGAACGCUGGCGGCAUGCUUUACACAUGCAAGUCGAACGGCAGCGGGGGCUUCGGCCUGCCGGCGAGUGGCGAACGGGUGAGUAAUGCAUCGGAACGUGCCCAUGUCGUGGGGGGAUAACGUAGCGAAAGCUGCGCUAAUACCGCAUACGUCCUGAGGGAGAAAGCGGGGGAUCUUUGGACCUCGCGCGAUUGGAGCGGCCGAUGUCGGAUUAGCUAGUAGGUGAGGUAAAGGCUCACCUAGGCGACGAUCCGUAGCGGGUCUGAGAGGAUGAUCCGCCACACUGGGACUGAGACACGGCCCAGACUCCUACGGGAGGCAGCAGUGGGGAAUUUUGGACAAUGGGGGCAACCCUGAUCCAGCCAUGCCGCGUGAGUGAAGAAGGCCUUCGGGUUGUAAAGCUCUUUCGGCCGGGAAGAAAUCGUGGUCUCUAACAUAGGCCAUGGAUGACGGUACCGGACUAAGAAGCGCCGGCUAACUACGUG